CCCAAUAUCUAGGAGACCAGGGGCCGGGAUGGCCGGGCUCUCUGACAGAAGUUGUCUGUUCUCUUUUCAGCCUUCCUGCUGCUGCUUCUACAGUGUCUCCUUUCUCAGGCUGCUCUCCCCCAACCUGGAGCCCUGAAGCUGCACACCUGGCUCCCACAUCAGAUAACCCAACCACAGUAGUUCCCCUCACCCGACCUGCUCCCACCCUCUCCUCACCCCUCACCCUCUUCCUCCCCUGCUCUUCUACCCUCUAGCUUCUGUUGAGCCUAGAUAGCCCUAGAGAGGGUCAAGGAGAUUCAAAGCCCUCUGGUGGAAAAGGUGGUGUGAGAGUCAACCCCGAUCAGUGUGUGCACGUGGUACAGGCGGAUGGAAACGUACACUGUGUCACUUGGAAACAGUGAUGGGGAAGGGACCCCAGCCCAGGCCUUAAGGACCUAGAGCAACCUAGGACCCAGCAGGGAGUCUGGGAGAGUACUGGGCCAAUCCCCCUUGCUGUGGGCUUUCUGCAAUCAAGAGAGUGAAGCUCGCAUCCUUGGUGCUAGGAUAGGAGGACUGAGCUGAAGAGGCAGACAUUCUGAAUGAAGGAACCCAUAAUCUCUUGUAGCCAAAUGCAGGCUUUGAAAGGGUCUCUCCAUGUAGCCAAAGCCGGCCUUGAACUUGGAACUGUUCUGACUACGGCUCCUGAGGGCUGACGUCACAGAUGUGCACCAACCAUGUCCAGCUCUGAGUGUGUCCUCUUUUUUUUUU